AUUGAACGCUGGCGGCAUGCCUUACACAUGCAAGUCGAACGGUAACGGGCCUUCGGGUGCCGACGAGUGGCGAACGGGUGCGUAAUACAUCGGAACGUGCCCGAUCGUGGGGGAUAACGAGGCGAAAGCUUUGCUAAUACCGCAUACGAUCUACGGAUGAAAGCAGGGGACCGCAAGGCCUUGCGCGGACGGAGCGGCCGAUGGCAGAUUAGGUAGUUGGUGGGAUAAAAGCUUACCAAGCCGACGAUCUGUAGCGGGUCUGAGAGGAUGAUCAGCCACACUGGGACUGAGACACGGCCCAGACUCCUACGGGAGGCAGCAGUGGGGAAUUUUGGACAAUGGGCGCAAGCCUGAUCCAGCCAUGCCGCGUGCAGGAUGAAGGCCUUCGGGUUGUAAAAUGCUUUUGUACGGAACGAAAAGCCUUCUUUUAAUACAGGAGGGUCAUGACGGUACCGUAAGAAUAAGCACCGGCUAACUACGUG
rnacentral:rRNA from 1 species